rnacentral:misc_RNA from 1 species
ACAAACUUGGUCAUUUAGAGGAAGUAAAAGUCGUAACAAGGUCUCCGUUGGUGAACCAGCGGAGGGAUCAUUAGCGAGUUAGUUAUAAACUCCAAACCCAUGUGAACAUACCUUUUGUUGCCUCGGCAGGUCGUGCCGCACGGUUGGACCGCUACCCGGAAACAGCUACCCUGUAAUUGGGAGUAGCUACCCUGGAGAGCCCGCCCUGCAGCAUAUACCAAAGGCCUGCCGAAGGAUAUCUAACUCUGUUUUACAACUGUAUCUCUGAGUCUAUUAUACAAAUAAGUUAAAACUUUCAACAACGGAUCUCUUGGUUCUGGCAUCGAUGAAGAACGCAGC